rnacentral:siRNA from 1 species
GGAGGUGGUGGUUACGAGAGACA